rnacentral:rRNA from 1 species
GAUGAACGCUAGCGGCAGGCUUAAUACAUGCAAGUCGUGGGGCAGCAGGACUGUAGCACUCCAGUUGCUGGCGACCGGCAAACGGGUGCGGAACACGUACGCAACUUACCCUGAACUGGGGGAUAGCCCGGGGAAACCCGGAUUAAUACCCCGUAAUAUAAUGGAGUGGCAUCACUUUAUUAUUAAAGCUCCGGCGGUUCGGGAUGGGCGUGCGGCUGAUUAGGUAGUUGGUUGAGGUAACGGCUCACCAAGCCUACGAUCAGUAACUGGUGUGAGAGCACGACCAGUCACACGGGCACUGAGACACGGGCCCGACUCCUACGGGAGGCAGCAGUAAGGAAGAUGGGGCAAUGGAGGCAACUCUGACCCAGCCAUGCCGCGUGGAGGAUGAAGGCCCUCUGGGUGGUAAACUUCUUUUAUAGGGGACGAAGCCUGUGUAUUCUUACGCAGUUGACGGUACCCUAGGAAUAAGCACCGGCUAACUCCGUG